rnacentral:lncRNA from 1 species
CAGAUUCUUGGAACUAUAGCAGUGAUGUCUCAGGUAGCAUGGGAGGUGUUUGUCAUCUUUAUUCCAGUAACCGGUAUCUGCAUUUGGUACCAGGUAGGAAAGAAAUUCAACUUCCUCUUAUAUUUAUUGAUUAGCAGAGAAAAAAAAAAGGAAAUAACCUUUUUUACAAAAGGGUAUCAGAAAUAUAUAACCACAAUCACCUGAUAAUGAGACAAAAGAUGCAAGUGACUGAAUAUUAACAUAAUUAUAUGACUAUAGAAACUAAGUAUAUGUCAAUUACAGAAUUUCUAAACAAUUUUUUUCACUAAUUUAAAAGAUAACAAAAUAAACGUGAUGUAGCUAUUUUUAUUUUCUAAAAAAGCCAAUACAGUCAUUUCAUGUGCUAAAAGAACAAAUCUAUUAAUUUCAUCUGUCUGCAUUUGUUGACCUGUUCAGCAAUAUUACAUACCCACAGCAAGGGAAUUAGCUCGCUUAGCAGGGAUACAAAUGGCUCCAAUCCUUCACCAUUUUGCAGAAUCUCUUUCAGGAGCAGCAACAAUUCGUGCUUUUGAUCAACAAGAACGUUUCACAAAUGCAAACCUCAAUCUAAUUGACAACCACUCUAGGCCAUGGUUUCAUAAUGCAUCGGCUAUGGAAUGGCUUUCUUUCAGACUAAAUUUGUUGUCAAAUUUCGUAUUUGCUUUCUCGUUGGUUUUACUGGUGACUCUUCCUGAAGGAAUUAUCAAUCCAAGUAAGUAUCAAAUUAAUUAAGCCAUGAGAUUAUGUCAAACAAACUAUUCAAGUAGACAACACCAUGCAUACAUACAUCUCAUCAGUUCCUAAAACAAAAACAAACGUAACUUAUGCAGCCAUAGACAAACCAUAUGGUACUCAAACAUCAAUAGUACAACAGAUUAAUCACUUUAAAUAAAAAUGUUUUCUCCCAACCCAACAUCAGAAAGGUCCAACCUCUUUCUUGUUGCCCUCAUCCAGUGGAAACUGAAACCAACCUAUGUUUGCAGAACUAUGGAUUUUGGUUUUAUUUUUGGCAUGUUAAUGUAACAGGCAUCGCAGGAUUGGGCGUAACUUAUGGUAUAAACUUGAAUGUUUUGCAAGCUUCAGUUAUAUGGAAUAUGUGCAAUGCGGAGAAUAAAAUGAUCUCAGUAGAAAGAAUUCUUCAGUACUCAAGCAUACCAAGUGAGGCACCCCUUGUAAUUGAAGAGUGCAUACUGCCAAACAACUGGCCAGAUGUUGGAACAGUUAGCUUUAGAAACUUGCAGGUAAGACUUUGUAGCAUGUCUAAUACACAGACACACAUGCACAAGCAGAAAAGAGUGGCCAAAUAUUGGGAAAACUAGCAAGUGCAGGUAACACACACACACACACACCCCCCCGCCCAUACACUUGCGUACACGUGCGCACACACACAAAAGGUGCUGGAACAUAACUUUAGAAACUAGCAAGUAAAAGGACUCUCUUACAUGGUCAACCAACACACAGAGAAAUAAUAAAAAAUACGUCUUAAUGAUGAUCCCCAUACAUUUUUUAUCGUGCAGAUCCGUUAUGCGGAGUAUCUUCCAGCUGUCUUGAAAAACAUUAGCUGUACGUUUCCAGGAAGGAAAAAAGUUGGUGUAGUUGGAAGAACAGGGAGUGGAAAAUCAACCCUUGUACAGGCCAUUUUCAGAAUUGUUGAACCAAGAGAAGGAAAAAUCAUAAUUGAUGAUGUGGACAUUUCAAAGAUAAGUCUUCAUGACUUACGAUCAAGACUUAGCAUCAUUCCCCAGGACCCAACAAUGUUUGAGGGAACAGUUAGAGGAAACCUUGACCCACUAAUGCAACAUACUGAUGCAGAAUUAUGGGAGGUAAGUAUAUUGAUCAUAAUGUAAACAGUGGAAGUGGGAAGCACCAGUUUCCAGUCUUUCAAAGAAAAACAUAGUAGGCUUCUAAAAAAUAAUAGCUAAUCACUUGAAAAAGAAUAAAUUAGCUUUAUCUGAAUGCUCUCCCUAGAGAGAAGCAGAAGAGUAGUCUGUCUGCUUAAAACAUAAGCCUAUUCUUCGGAGGAGGUAAAUUACAGAAUUUUCCAUUAGCUUCUGUCAACAGAUAUUAUAUGUUAUGAUAAUAGACAAAUAACAGCCUUAAUCUUUCAGGCACUUGAUAAAUGUCAACUUGGUGACUUGGUCCAUGAGAAGCAAGAGAAGUUGGAUUCCACAGGUCAGGUUUCUUAUUUUGGACAGCACCAAAUAGUUUACUGCAGGUUUUGGUGGUAAAAAAAAUAGUACUUAUUUGCAAUUAAUUGAACAGUGAUUGAAAAUGGAGACAAUUGGAGUGUGGGGCAGAGGCAGUUAUUGUGUCUUGGAAGAACUUUGCUAAAGAAAAGCCGCAUUCUGGUAUUGGACGAAGCAACAGCAUCAGUAGACUCUGCAACUGACGCUGUUAUACAGAAAAUAAUCAGUAAAGAGUUUAAGGAUCGGACAGUAAUCACAAUAGCUCACAGAAUCCACACAGUAGUAGACAGUGAUCUUGUUUUGGUCCUUAGUGAUGGUGAGUAAGACCACAAAAGUAAGACCACAAACACACACACACACUCAGAUAAGAAACACCAUAAGAAGUGGUUUUGAAUGAUCUUGUUUUAUGAACAGGAAGAAUUGCAGAGUUUGACAGCCCGUCAAAGCUACUUGAGAGAAAUGAUUCAUUCUUCUCAAAACUAAUAAAAGAGUACUCCUCAAGAUCACAGAGUUUCAACAAUUUAGCAAAUUUGCAUAAUUGAAGAGAUUUAUUCAAGGGUUCAAAGGAGCCAAUUUGGGUAAGCAUCAGCAGUCAUAAAGCAGAAUUAUCAUCACUAGAUCCACAUCCCAGUAACAUAAUAGCAUUUUCCCAGACAUGAUAAGAAAAUUUAAAUCCUUGACCUAGAUGUUACUGGGAUGUUACUUGAACCCUUGAAUAAAUCUCUUCAAUUAUGCAAAUAUGCUAAAUUGUUGAAGCUUUGUGAUCUGCUGGAGUACUCUUUUAAGAAUUUGAGAAGAAUGAAUCAUUUCUGUCAUGUAAGAAUGAAACAAAAUCCUACCAACCACAAAAUGGGGAAUAGAGACAGAAAAGCAUAUUGUUCAUUUACAACUUACAUAUAAAACCAUUAGUCACUGCAGUCUUCCUCUGACUUCGUCUGUUGGUUAGCGAUCCUUCAUCCAGGGUGGAGAAGAGAGAAGACUAUCUGCAUUCUAAUUUUACUAUCUGGAUUCUAAUUUCAGUUGAAUUUAAGCUUUAUAC